GUGAGCGUGUUUCAGAGCUGCAAUCGGCUGCAAGGUAUCAAUUAAAGGACAACUUUAAGUACUUCAAAGCCUGGAUGCAACCAGGACGACGUGUGAAAGCGAAGGAAUAGAAUAACGUGAGAUCCAGAAGGCAGGAAUCAAAUUGAAAGAACUAGAAGCUGAAGUGAUAAAGGCAGAGGAAUAAAUCUCACGGCCUGUGCUAAGGGGUGAAGCCUGAAAGGAAUUCUCACAAGCUCCAUGAAAAUCUGCAGCUUCACUCUCGGAGUUCAUCUGGCCAAAGUUUGUGGGUUCAGCUCCUCUGCCCAGCCCUGGUGUCUCUGUGCUGUAGGACAGUAGCCCAGCUGCAUCUCGGUCCUUGGUUCCCAUUUGGCUGGUCCUAGGGAAGGAAUCAUCAAGACCAAACUGUUCAAGCUCUCACAAACACCUCUUACAACAGUGACAUAUGCCAUACCCUGUGUCCAAGGAGGAGAAAAGCUGCCUGCAAGCUGUGCCUUGGAUGAGGUUGUGGAGCCCAGAUGAACAGUUGAGCCCACAUCUCAGCUGAGUGUUCUGUGGACUGUUUGCAACUUCUCUGAACCCAGGACACUAAAUGAAGUUCUUGCAAAGUACUUCAUUAAUGAAGUGAGAUGUUCAAGGGGGCAGAGCUCAUCACAGCUUCACCCCUUGUACAUGUGCUGUGGAGCCAGGAUGCCCUCUGGUUGGCAGUGGGCUCCUCUCUCUCUUUGGAAACCACAAUCUUCCUGGGUUUCUCCUUGGUGCCAAGGUAAGAGAAGCUCUCACAGACAGGAUGACUGAGGCAAGCACACUGUGGGGUUGGAGCUCCUAGUUUGCCAGGAUGUUCAAGUGACCACCCUCGACAAGCCUCCAGGUAAGAGCAGAGCUCAAUGUGCCAGAAGGGAGAAAGCUGCUAUAUGAAACAAAAAAUCAUAUCCCUGCCUCUCCUCCCCACCCUCUGAAAAGCCCUCAUGUAACCUGAGAACCUGAUUAGUAUGCUAGAAAUUAAAGUGUUACUCACCUCUCUAAGCCAUCAGUUUGGGUUUUGGAGGUCUUGCUGCCAGCAGCUUGAGUCAGCACUGAGUCUUGCAGUGGAAAGUCUCCUCCCCACUGACUCCCCUCUGAGGACUGAAGGCUGUCUGGGGUGGUGGGUUACAUUUCUAAUGUUCAGAUCCCUGCUUGUGAGUGAUGGCAUGGUGGGAAUGUCAGCUGUAUGUGAAUGAACUGCAGAAAUUUAUUCUCUGCAGUCUGCUUCAAAGUCAACAGAGCAGCACCAUUAGCUGGAACAAAGCAGGUCCAUUCUUGUGAGAUACAACAGUCACCAGAUCUGCAGUUGCUUUUCAUUUAUCAUGCUAGUAGUCCUGCGGGCUGGAAAGGUGCCAGGCCAGGUCAAUUGUGACUCUCGGCAUUGAAUGAGAGCCAAGAAAGAGAAAUGCAGCAAAAAAACUUAAUUAGAAGCUGGGCUCUCUUCUACAGGUCUGGAAUGUAAAGAAUUUCCUAUUCACUUGAGAAAUAAAGAAAACCUGAGCUUUUUCCCUCUUCCCAAAUGCUGAGGAAUGCAGAGGGAUAGCUUGGGUCUGGUAGAGCCAGAGUACAGUCUUGCUGACUUGAACAGCUCCUCCACAGCAUUCUCCAGACUUGGUAGAAGAGCUGUGUAAAGCUCAUGGGAGCUGUACUCAUGUCCUGAUGAUGGCAGAAGCCCAGUGCCAUUAUGUGCCUAAAUUUCCAGGAAAUUGCAUUAUUUAGUGAAGUGUUGGAUGGGGGAGGAGCUGAGGCGAGGGUGUUUUUGAAGUGCAGGGUAGUGCCUCUACCCAGUGUUAGUGCAGCAAGUUUAUAUGAAUAUUCCUGUGCUCUAAAACACCAGAUAAAAGCUUCUUUGGAGGAAUUGCUUUGUGUAGAUACAUGAAGGAUAGGAGGGGAAAUCCUUAAACAAAGAUGCAUGUUGAAAGUGUCCAACAAACAAAUUGGAUCUUGUCUUCGUGGUAGAGCACUUCCACAGCUGGAGACCAAAGAGCUGAGACCCUUCAGUCUUGGCAUUUGCCAGUCCUCAUCAGUUUUGUAACCAUGAGAAGAACCCAAAGAAAGCUUUGCUGCUUUGCAAAGCCCUGCCCAGGAGUUUAAGGUACACAGAAUUACCUUUCAUGGGGUUUUGGAGGUCUUCCCCAGAUUCCCAGUUUGAAAAUAUGACUUACAGUUGGGUUUCCUGCAGGCACAAGCUCCUAAUUUUUUUCAUUCAUGCUGAGUGCCAGAAGCUGUGAGAAAAGGUAUGAAUUACUUUUGGCCUCUCUCCUGGCACUGUUAUUAAUGGCUGUAUCAUCUUUUUUGUCUUACUGCAAAUUAUAUCAAGGCCAUCCCGAGGACAUCCCCUGUAGCACAGACCGUGGUGUAGGGAUGCUGUGGGAGAUUCACCUGCUUCCUUUGGCUGUAUUUUGCCUCAGAGGUUCUCAUCUAUUCUUGGAAACCCCUGAGGAAGAGGUCUUGAACUUCAGGAGCACUGCUCUCCCCCUUCUGUGGACAAGCAGCUCUACCAUAGGUCAAGGGGAUUUAUUCAGAUCCCCAAGCUAGACCAUCCAGCCCAAGGAAUUUAAACUAUUAUUCACCUCUUGAUUAUCAGAUGAACUUCUGUCACUGGUUUGAAUGCAGGGGUAAUGGGUAGAGACUGACUAUUCCAGCCAUCUUAAACCCUUCCCAAAAUGGAAAAGCAGCUGGUGCAAAGGCUGCAAAUUCUGGGGCC